rnacentral:lncRNA from 1 species
ACAUGUUGACAAAUUAUGAGAUGGCAAGAUCCAGAAAUAAAUAUCACAGCAUGCUGCUUUACAUAAAGCACAAAGGCAUUGAAGUCAUGGAAAUUGUGAACUUAUGCAAGAAGCAAACAUAACGAAUGCUGCUUUACAUAAAGCACAAAGGCAUUGAAGUCAUGACUUAUGCAAGAAGAGAACAUAACGAAGACUUGAUCCAAUUUUUGGCAUUUGCAGGUAAAUUUCAGAACUACCUAGGACAUCUUUUUAUCAGAGUCUACAGAAUCCAGCAUUCGUUUUUCAUGUUUAAAGAUUGCAUGUUUUCAUAACAUUCUUUUUAUCACAAUCAAGUCAUUCAGAAGUUUGCAUUACAUUGUUCAGUAUUAACAAGUUUUCAACUCAACUAUAUCUAUCGUCAAAGAUUAGAUUCAAAAGUACCUCUCAUUUUAUACAAUAUGUACUAUGCACAUGCUUAUUCACAAAUUCCAGAUGAAAUUGUUCACAUAUAGCAGUUUUUCUACGAUUAGCAUUAUUAUACUCAUUAACCCGUUAACUCCAUCGUCGAUCACAUCAUGUCAAUGGAAUUAUCUCAAAGUGUUAAGUCAGUCUAAUUUAUUCAUUGAAAGAGAAAGUAAAUCUAACCAUCGGCUGCAUCCUACCCAUUGAACUGCAGAGGGCAAGGAUCAGUGAUAUUUGACUGCAAGCUUUUACUCUGCUGCAGUGAGAUGGUGAGGGUAUUAGUUGAAGCUCCACCAAGAACAGCUGAAGCUGAUUGGGAAGAUGCAGUGGUGGGCAUCGCCUUUGCGGCAU